ACCUUGAGCAAGACUUAACACCCAGCAUGUUACUUCAGCCUCAUCAGUUAAGCUGGCCAGAAGUAACAUCAUACUGAACCUAAGGAGAAAUAACUUAAAAUGCCAGAACAGGUGACAGCUGACAUCCGUGAAUGCCAAUGUAGAGGAAGUGACCGACACCUUGAGCAAGAUGUAACACCCAGCAUGUUACUUCAGCCUUCUUAGGUGGUUGGUGUACAAGAUAGAAGGACCAGACACAACAAGGUGACCACGACUGUCUAGCAUCCCACACCCUGAUGACUUCCACCUUACUAAGAAAGAACAGAAUUGGUGUUCUGUACACUACUGCAAGAAUAGUGUACUGUAAUGUAAAAGUUAAGUAUUACUGAAACCUUUUUUUAUAUAAUUUAGCAAAACUUGAUAUAUUACUUCAAAUGGUGCAUUUAAGAACAUACAGUACAAGUAAACCUCAAUAUUGUGUAUUGAUAGGGAUAUAAAAUAGCUUAAUUAAUUCAGACGUAGAGUAUCUAAA
rnacentral:lncRNA from 1 species